UUGAACGCUGGCGGCAGGCCUAACACAUGCAAGUCGAGCGGUAGCACAGAGAGCUUGCUCUCGGGUGACGAGCGGCGGACGGGUGAGUAAUGUCUGGGAAACUGCCUGAUGGAGGGGGAUAACUACUGGAAACGGUAGCUAAUACCGCAUAAUGUCGCAAGACCAAAGUGGGGGACCUUCGGGCCUCAUGCCAUCAGAUGUGCCCAGAUGGGAUUAGCUAGUAGGUGGGGUAACGGCUCACCUAGGCGACGAUCCCUAGCUGGUCUGAGAGGAUGACCAGCCACACUGGAACUGAGACACGGUCCAGACUCCUACGGGAGGCAGCAGUGGGGAAUAUUGCACAAUGGGCGCAAGCCUGAUGCAGCCAUGCCGCGUGUGUGAAGAAGGCCUUCGGGUUGUAAAGCACUUUCAGCGGGGAGGAAGGCGUUAAGGUUAAUAACCUUGGCGAUUGACGUUACCCGCAGAAGAAGCACCGGCUAACUCCGUGCCAGCAGCCGCGGUAAUACGGAGGGUGCAAGCGUUAAUCGGAAUUACUGGGCGUAAAGCGCACGCAGGCGGUCUGUCAAGUCGGAUGUGAAAUCCCCGGGCUCAACCUGGGAACUGCAUUCGAAACUGGCAGGCUAGAGUCUUGUAGAGGGGGGUAGAAUUCCAGGUGUAGCGGUGAAAUGCGUAGAGAUCUGGAGGAAUACCGGUGGCGAAGGCGGCCCCCUGGACAAAGACUGACGCUCAGGUGCGAAAGCGUGGGGAGCAAACAGGAUUAGAUACCCUGGUAGUCCACGCCGUAAACGAUGUCGAUUUGGAGGUUGUGCCCUUGAGGCGUGGCUUCCGGAGCUAACGCGUUAAAUCGACCGCCUGGGGAGUACGGCCGCAAGGUUAAAACUCAAAUGAAUUGACGGGGGCCCGCACAAGCGGUGGAGCAUGUGGUUUAAUUCGAUGCAACGCGAAGAACCUUACCUGGUCUUGACAUCCACAGAACUUUCCAGAGAUGGAUUGGUGCCUUCGGGAACUGUGAGACAGGUGCUGCAUGGCUGUCGUCAGCUCGUGUUGUGAAAUGUUGGGUUAAGUCCCGCAACGAGCGCAACCCUUAUCCUUUGUUGCCAGCGGUCCGGCCGGGAACUCAAAGGAGACUGCCAGUGAUAAACUGGAGGAAGGUGGGGAUGACGUCAAGUCAUCAUGGCCCUUACGACCAGGGCUACACACGUGCUACAAUGGCAUAUACAAAGAGAAGCGACCUCGCGAGAGCAAGCUGACCUCAUAAAGUAUGUCGUAGUCCGGAUUGGAGUCUGCAACUCGACUCCAUGAAGUCGGAAUCGCUAGUAAUCGUAGAUCAGAAUGCUACGGUGAAUACGUUCCCGGGCCUUGUACACACCGCCCGUCACACCAUGGGAGUGGGUUGCAAAAGAAGUAGGUAGCUUAACCUUCGGGAGGGCGCUUACCACUUUGUGAUUCAUGACUGGGGUG
rnacentral:rRNA from 1 species